UUGAUGAACGCUAGCUACAGGCUUAACACAUGCAAGUCGAGGGGCAGCAUUUUAGUUUGCUUGCAAACUGAAGAUGGCGACCGGCGCACGGGUGAGUAACACGUAUCCAACCUGCCGAUAACUCCGGAAUAGCCUUUCGAAAGAAAGAUUAAUACCGGAUAGCAUACGAAUAUCGCAUGAUAUUUUUAUUAAAGAAUUUCGGUUAUCGAUGGGGAUGCGUUCCAUUAGUUUGUUGGCGGGGUAACGGCCCACCAAGACAACGAUGGAUAGGGGUUCUGAGAGGAAGGUCCCCCACAUUGGAACUGAGACACGGUCCAAACUCCUACGGGAGGCAGCAGUGAGGAAUAUUGGUCAAUGGGCGAGAGCCUGAACCAGCCAAGUAGCGUGAAGGAUGAAGGCUCUAUGGGUCGUAAACUUCUUUUAUAUGGGAAUAAAGUUUUCCACGUGUGGAAUUUUGUAUGUACCAUAUGAAUAAGGAUCGGCUAACUCCGUGCCAGCAGCCGCGGUAAUACGGAGGAUCCGAGCGUUAUCCGGAUUUAUUGGGUUUAAAGGGAGCGUAGGUGGAUUGUUAAGUCAGUUGUGAAAGUUUGCGGCUCAACCGUAAAAUUGCAGUUGAAACUGGCAGUCUUGAGUACAGUAGAGGUGGGCGGAAUUCGUGGUGUAGCGGUGAAAUGCUUAGAUAUCACGAAGAACUCCGAUUGCGAAGGCAGCUCACUAGACUGUCACUGACACUGAUGCUCGAAAGUGUGGGUAUCAAACAGGAUUAGAUACCCUGGUAGUCCACACAGUAAACGAUGAAUACUCGCUGUUUGCGAUAUACAGUAAGCGGCCAAGCGAAAGCAUUAAGUAUUCCACCUGGGGAGUACGCCGGCAACGGUGAAACUCAAAGGAAUUGACGGGGGCCCGCACAAGCGGAGGAACAUGUGGUUUAAUUCGAUGAUACGCGAGGAACCUUACCCGGGCUUAAAUUGCAACAGAAUAUAUUGGAAACAGUAUAGCCGUAAGGCUGUUGUGAAGGUGCUGCAUGGUUGUCGUCAGCUCGUGCCGUGAGGUGUCGGCUUAAGUGCCAUAACGAGCGCAACCCUUAUCUUUAGUUACUAACAGGUGAUGCUGAGGACUCUAGAGAGACUGCCGUCGUAAGAUGUGAGGAAGGUGGGGAUGACGUCAAAUCAGCACGGCCCUUACGUCCGGGGCUACACACGUGUUACAAUGGGGGGUACAGAAGGCGGCUACCUGGUGACAGGAUGCUAAUCCCAAAAACCUCUCUCAGUUCGGAUCGAAGUCUGCAACCCGACUUCGUGAAGCUGGAUUCGCUAGUAAUCGCGCAUCAGCCAUGGCGCGGUGAAUACGUUCCCGGGCCUUGUACACACCGCCCGUCAAGCCAUGAAAGCCGGGGGUACCUGAAGUACGUAACCGCAAGGAGCGUCCUAGGGUA
rnacentral:rRNA from 1 species